GGACAACGGCGUCCUUGUCAUCAGCAGUUGCCUAGGGACCUGGCGAGUCCAGUAGGCUAGCCAGGGUCCAGGAGAGCAGUUUGUCUCCAGGGCAUUAGCCGACACAUCCAACCUGCGGUCCCUGGGGGGAUAGGAAGCGCUCUCACUGUGGUCCGAGCCGUCGGUGAGAUUUCACACACGGCAGCAGAACUCCUGAAGGUGUCUUCUCGGCACAACGUCCCACCGACAAAUCCUUUCUUUCCUCUGCUGUGUGUUUACUUUUCUUCAAGUCGUUCAGAGGUGACACCGUGUGGCAUUUGUCCCUCACUGCCUGACUCAUUUCACGUCACCUGAUGCUCCAGUUCCGUCCACGCUGUUGCCAAGGGCAGGAGCUCCCCCUUUCUCUCCACUGCGUAGGAUUCCACCGUGGAAAUGGUCCACAGUGACCUGAUCCCCUCACUCACCGGUGGGCCCUGGGCUGGUUCCAGUACUUGGCUGCUGUGAAAGGCGCUGCUGUGAAC